rnacentral:rRNA from 1 species
CCUACGGGCGGCAGCAGUGGGGAAUAUUGCACAAUGGGGGAAACCCUGAUGCAGCGACGCCGCGUGUGUGAAGAAGUAUUUCGGUACGUAAAGCUCUAUCAGCAGGGAAGAAAAUGACGGUACCUGACUAAGAAGCCCCGGCUAACUACGUGCCAGCAGCCGCGGUAAUACGGAGGGGGCAAGCGUUAUCCGGAUUUACUGGGUGUAAAGGGAGCGUAGACGGCAGCGCAAGUCUGGAGUGAAAUCCCAUGGCUUAACCAUGGAACUGCUUUUGAAACUGGGCAGCUAGAGUGCAGGAGAGGUAAGCAGAAUUCCUGGUGUAGCGGUGAAAUGCGUAGAUAUUAGGAGGAACACCAGUGGCGAAGGCGGCUUACUGGACUGUAACUGACGUUGAGGCUCGAAAGCGUGGGGAGCAAACAGGAUUAGAUACCCGGGUAGUC